CAGCAGCCGCGGUAAUACAGAGGGUGCGAGCGUUAAUCGGAUUUACUGGGCGUAAAGCGUGCGUAGGCGGCUUCUUAAGUCGGAUGUGAAAUCCCUGAUCUUAACUUAGGAAUUGCAUUCGAUACUGGGAAGCUAGAGUAUGGGAGAGGAUGGUAGAAUUCCAGGUGUAGCGGUGAAAUGCGUAGAGAUCUGGAGGAAUACCGAUGGCGAAGGCAUCCAUCUGGCCUAAUACUGACGCUGAGGUACGAAAGCAUGGGGAGCAAACAGGAUUAGAUACCCCUGUAGUCCCUGUCUCUUAUAC
rnacentral:rRNA from 1 species